rnacentral:rRNA from 1 species
UACGGGGGGGGCAAGCGUUGUUCGGAAUUACUGGGCGUAAAGGGCUCGUAGGCGGCCAACUAAGUCGGAUGUGAAAUCCCCAGGCUUAACCUGGGAACUGCAUCCGAUACUGGAUGGCUUGAAUCCGGGAGAGGGAUGCAGAAUUCCAGGUGUAGCGGUGAAAUGCGUAGAUAUCUGGAGGAACACCGGUGGCGAAGGCGGCAUCCUGGACCGGUAUUGACACUGAGGCGCGAAAGCCAGGGGAGCAAACGGG